rnacentral:lncRNA from 1 species
GUAGUGUUCAGAGUAAAUUUUAGAGUAUAAAUAAUCUCAUCCUUAAUUAUAUGAUAUCUCCAAUAAAUAUUUUAGCAAUUUCAUCAAGCUACUUUAAGCAUCAUUAAAGCACAAUAAUCAUCUCGAUUUAUUCAAAUGAUUCAAAGAAGUUAUUCAAAUUGAAUCCAACAAGGGCAUGAAGAAGUAAGCUACACAACUAAUUUACUGAGACACAUGUAUGUAUGUAUUUGUGUUGUAGGUAGAUAGGUAAGUAGGUAUAAAUUUGUUAAAAUAAUAUAUUGAUAUUUUGAAUAAUAUCUUU